UGCUGCUUCAGUCUCUUCCCAACCACCCAACCCCUCCGCCUCUUAAUAGGAAAGUCAGCUCAUAUAGAUGGCAUCAGAAAUACACUGUGGCGCUGGCUGCAAGGAAAGUCAGAAGAAAGAAAAAGAACAAGAAACUAGAGGAGAGCAAAGUAAAUUAAAAAAGAAGGGAGGGGAUGAAAGAAGGAAGCGCCUGUCGCAGAGUGCAGCACAUCCCUCCAGAUAACGUUCAUCUAGAUGUUUUUCCAGAGCCUCCUCUGCCAAAUCAAUAGCCUCAUCAACAGAUACAUGGUUUCUGUAAACCCAUAAUAAUGUUUUCAUACCACUGUAGCUGCAGACAGGAUUUCUCAAAACCUUUCUGGCUAACCCACAUGCUUCAUCUUCAAUUCUUUCUUCUUUCUUAGCACUCUGCACAAGGUCUUGAACAGCAAGUUCUGUGGAUCCUGUUCCUUUGCCAUUCUUAUUUUCUCCAGGAUGUCUUCCUCCACUGGUGUGUCACGGUGCUUCACAGCAUUCACUAAUACUGUGACAUGGCUGGUGCUACACUCCACUCCACACCAGGUGUCACUGUUGGUUUCCUCAGUGAGAUUACCCCGUUAAGAUUUAGUUUGCUGACAGAAAGUAGUACUGAAACUGAGGUUUUAGGUCAUUAUAGUCAGGUUUUGGUGGAAAUAUUUAUUAAAAUGUUAUUUGAUACUUAUUCCACUUUGGUUAUAUUAAUGUCAUCUCCAUAGCCAUCACUGUUGUAUUUGUUAAUAUCAUUUGGAUAAGUUGUCAGUCAUUACUUAUCAGUAAGCUGAUUUUCAUAUUGCUUGUCUUUUAUUUGUUUGUGUUGAACCACACCCAAAUCAAUAAAGAAGACAAAAAAACUUA